AAUCUAAAACAUUCCUGGAAAUGGAGAGUCCUGACAUGAUGGCCCCAUGAUGAAAAUAACCCAGAUUCCUGAGUCACCAUGUGGACACGAGGCACCAAGGAGAAAACAUGUGAACCUCAGGUACACCUCCUUGCCAUGUGUUACCUUUUGCCAAGUUAUGAUGCAGCAAAAAGGCCCUCACCAGUUGCAGUCCCUCAGUCCUGGACUUCUCAGCCUCCAGAACUGUGAGCCAAAUAGAUCUCUUUUCUUCAUAAAUUACACAAUCUGUGGUAUUCUGUUGUAGCAACAAAAAACAGUCUAAGAAACCUUCAAUUGCUGGUCCUCAGUGAUAAUUCACAUUAUUGGUAUAAAAGUUGAUUUUAAAAGAUCUUCGCCAACAGCGUGUUAUUAAACUUUUUGGUAACUUGCCAAUCUUGUAGCUUAAAAAAACUUUUGCCAUCGCUUUAAUUUGCAUUUCUCUUUAAUUUUCCUCUUCCCUGUGAGUGAGGUUGAGCAUCUCUUCAUCGGUUUAACCCAUGUAUCCCUGAGGUUGCAAUUUUUUGAAUUUUUGCAAUCAGACCUUAGCAAUGACCUUGAGCAGUAGGACAUAAAUAACUCCCACAUGCUUAGCGUUCUAAUAAUGGAGCACUAGGGAUAAAUGGGUUUUAAGACUCAUUUGUAUUUCUUUGCUGGGAAGUUUGUUCUUAUUCUUUCCUCAUUUUUCUAUUAGGUUUUUCUUUUUACUGUAUUUGUUAGAGCUUUUUCUGUGUUAAAAAAAAUUAGCGAAAGUUACUGUUGCUGACAGUGGUUCACUAGGGUUAAGACCUCUGGAAAAAAAAUGGCAUUAAAUUAUACUUUAUGGACUUAAAAUUAACAUGUCAUUUUACUGUUUCUAAAAAUGAAAAUUAUUUAGAAACAUACCUAUAAUAACAUUUAUCUUCUGUAGUAAUUGACAAAUAUUGCUGAUAUUGUUAGUGCUAGUACCUGAAUGUGCAAUUAACAGACAUUGAGAGCUUGAGGAGAACUUAGAUCAUCCAGUUCUAUUCUCCCAGUUUGCAGAGAAGAAAUUAAGGACAAGGAAACUUGGUCAUUUGGCUGCAACUCUCAAGAAGCCAGGCUCAAACUGGCUUCCAUAAUAAGAAAAUGGAUUGGUUCACCUAAAAGGAAGCCCAGGGCCAGUGCAGGCUUUGGGGCUGGGAGAUUCAAUCAGCUCAACAACAUUUUCAGAAGCUCAUGUUAUUUUCUACCAAAGGGCAGGUGCCAGGGGUUGUCAGUAACAAUGGGGGCAUCAUGGCAGUAGCUACUGCUUCUUUAUUCUCCUCCAACAGGGGAGAGAGAAUACUGCUUCUGUAAAUCCUCUUGGAAGAAUGACGACGAACCUUAGUAAAAGUUUACAGCAAACCUCUUCUCAUAGCUCAUUGGUCUUUACUAAAUCACAUGACCCCUCCCCUGAGCCAAUCAUUGGGAAGGGGAUGGCUUACCCUUAGAUUAACCAGGACCACACCUAUGGCUGGGGGUCACGCCAGCUUCCAGUGCGUCACAUGGGGUAUUAAGGAGGGUCUGGGCACCUAAACAAAAUCAGAAAUCUGGGAUAUGUGUAAUAUCAUGUAGAAUGGCAGCACUUAACGUCUCAUCAUUAUUUUGAUCUAUAACAUGUGCAAAAUAAAAUAGACUCACUUGAAAUCUAUAUCAAUCAGUAUUCUCCAUAGAAACCGAAUCAAUAGGACACACACACAGAGAGAAUUAUUUUAAAGAAUUGGCUCACACCAUUGUGGGAGCUGGCAAAUCUGAAAUCUUUUUCUUUCUUUCUUUUUUUUUUUUUCUUUUUUAUUUGAGACCAAGUCUCGCUCUGUCUCCCAGUCUGGAGUGCAGUGGCGUGAUCUCGACUCACCGCAACCUCCGCCUCCUGUGUUCAAGGGAUUCUUCUGCCUCAGCCUCCUGAGUAGCUGGGAUUACAGGCGUGUGCCACCAUGCCCGUCUAAAAUCUGAAAUCUUACAGCAGACCAGCAUGCACACUUGGGGAAGAGCUGAUGUUGCAAGUCUUGAGGCAGAAUUCCUCCUUCUUUGAUAAACCUCAGUCUUCGCUGUUAACGCCUUCACCUGAUUGGAAAAGGCCCUCCCAUAUGACUGAGGGUAAUCUCCUUUACUCAAAAUCAACUGUAAAUGUUAAUCACGUCUACAAAAUGCUUUCACAGCAACAUCUAGUCUAGUGUUUGGCCAAACAAGGCAUUAUAGCCUAGCCAAGUUGACACAUAAGAUUAACCAUCACAUAAUCUUUGUCCUCCAAUCUUAAUUUCCUGAAUGUUUAUAACUUCCUACUUCCUUAAAAUGGGUGGCUGUGGUGUGAUUUCAGAAACACAAACCUUAGCAUGAGGGUGGAAACCACUAUAGAAAACAUAGAAAUCAUCAUUUUUCAUACUCGUCCAUAGGAGCCAUACAGAUGUCUCCAGACAGACUCAGCUCAGUUUUCCAGAUGUGAACACUUACACCGUUUCAGAUUUAAUCCGUGGUGUUCUGCUGAGGGAAGCGGGGACUGGACAGAUGUUUUCUUUAGCAUCUGCAGUAUAAGACAGAACGCAGUUCAUGUCCCCACAAGAAUCCCAAACAGUGGGGUCCAGGCUCAAUCACUAAAGGGAAAAAUUAGGGUUAGAAACCUUUAACUAUGGUCUCUAGCUGCGCCAGCCUCUGGCUGACAAACCGCUCAUCCAAUGACGAUAGCUCACUUGUUGGACAGCACUAUGAAUAUACACAGUAUGUUCUGGGCAGGUGGUUUGACAAAUAUUCCAGAGCGAUUUAUAAGAUUUUAGCUCAAGCAUCCCUCAGACUGUUUAAGGCCUGUUUGGGGGAAUUAAUGUGUACUUGGCAGAUUAUUUAAACAAACUUUUCAUAAUGUGAAAUUCCUUUUUCUUCAUAGGGAUAAUUUUAACCUGCUGGUUGUUUUCGUUUUUAUGGGCUGUGAUAGUUCUUGUUUAUCUCGAAGUUUAUGUAAGUUUAGGCUGCUUCUACCCCAAAAGCCACUCCAUUCCCGUGGCUAAAGCAAAGUCAUGGGGAUCAGUUACCCUUAGAGGGCAAAAACAUACAAGCAAGUCUCCCAUUCAUGUUGAGGGGAAGUUUUGGGUACUAGCUGUCAGAGUUUCACCCCGCCUUAUCUUAAAGGCUUCUUUGUAACUCACUGAAGACAAAUAACACAGGGUGUUGGUGGGUGUGUGUUUACAUGAGGGUGUGGAGAGAACACAGGGACUUUGGGGAGCAGCCAAUUUGGUGCAGUUUGGGAAUGACUGCCUUGUACAGCGCCAGCCUGAAGACUUUCCUUCCUCUGGGUAUUUUAAUAAGAGUCAAAGCAAAAAUAAAGGUGGCUGCGUUCCCUCUUUGGUGAUGUCUCCGAUCUGGAAGCCCUUGUGCUCUCCUGGGUCCCUCCGCGCCACAACGGACGUCUGUGGGAAGAGACCCUGUGUCCUUCGAUGUCAACGAGUUUCCUCCCUAUUUUGAGCCUGGGAUGCUGGAGCCCUGCUGCCAGGAGCAGCCAGAGAACUGAUUUCCCCCUCCUGAAGAGUCUGAGCUCUGGGAAAGUCUUCCAGCUGCGUCCCCGGGA
rnacentral:lncRNA from 1 species